GACGUAGGAUGCAAGCGUUGUCCGGAUUUAUUGGGCGUAAAGAGUUCGUAGGCGGUUUGUUAAGUCUGAUGUAAAAGACUGGGGCUCAACCUCGGGACUGCAUUGGAUACUGGCAGACUGGAGUACGGUAGAGGCAAGUGGAAUUCCCAGUGUAGCGGUGAAAUGCGUAGAUAUUGGGAAGAACACCGGUGGCGCAAGCGACUUGCUGGGCCGUAACUGGCGCUGAGGAACGAAAGCUAGGGUAGCGAAUGGG
rnacentral:rRNA from 1 species